rnacentral:misc_RNA from 1 species
GAAAUAUUAUACGGGUCGCCCAUGUGGGUCAACCGGUUCCAUCAAUUUAUUUAUUUAUGUAAUAAAUAAAAGAAAAAAAUAAAUUAAUUAAAUAUAGAAUUUGUAAGAAGAAAAAAGUUAACUGCCAUGCAGUUAACAUGGGCCAUGCUAAAUCAUCUCUUAAGAGUUGUGUCUAUUAGUGUUGACACAUAUAUAAAGAAGAUUAGUUUUCUGCAUGUUGGUGACUUGAAGAACGAAACCAAAACAUAAAGAAAAGAAAAGCAUUUUGGUUCUUGUUCUAAGAAAAACUCUCUCAUUUUCAAGAAUUGUUGGAGCAAUUAUAUUUCUGCAAAUCAAAGGUACAU